GGCUAGGGAGACCAGUUGAACAACUAUUAUAAUAGUCCAGGUGAGAGGUAAUGGCAUUAUGAGGUCAUAGUAUUUUAAUUGCUGUUAUUGGGGAAACUAGGUAGCUCAAUGGAUAGAGCACCAGGCCUAGAAAUGGGAGGUCCUGGGUUCAAAUGUGGCCUUGGAUACUUCCUAGCCAUGUAACCUUGGGCAAGACACUUAAACCCCAAUUGCCUUAGCCCCAUGGUGGCAAACCUAUGGCACACCUGCCAGAGGGAGCACUCAGAGACAACUGCUUCCCUCCCCCUCUCCACAUGUGCCUGAAGAUACCACUCAUCCCUCUAAAAGGUUCACCAUUACUGGCCUAGCCCUUACCACUCUUCUGCCUUAACAUCAAUAUUGAUUCUACAACAGAAGAGGCACUUGAGUCCAGUGGCAAGACAAAAAUUAGGACAAUUGGUAAAGUCCCAGGAUGCAGUGGAUGGCCGUGGCAUCUUCAAUGACUGACCACACUCUAAAUGCUCCUGUCAGCAGAAGACCACGAGGAACACGUGACAGAUUCGUCCUUUGGCUAACAGGUGAAGGUGCUUUCCUUGAACUGGUUAAACCCACGCGCAUGGCUGGGGUUGUAAACUGUGCGGCGAUUAGCCGGUCCCCCAUUAGAUUACAGCUCGGGCAGUGGUGCAGGAGGAGGAACCUGCGUGCCCCUCCCUCCCCUCCUCCUUGUACUUGCCACUGGCUCGUGGCCACCCAGUUUCUGGAGGAUGAAGUAAAAUAGCCAUUGCUACAUUAAUUUUGGAGUAGGUGGUCAUCCCUCUCAAGAAAUAAUAACAACAACAGCAGCAGCAGCACUUCUUCAUUUGCAAGCUCCUUGAGAGCAGGGACUUUUAAAAAAUUCAUUAUAAAUUGUAUUCCUGGUGCCUAACACAGGGCUUGGCAUGUAGUAGAUAGAAU
rnacentral:lncRNA from 1 species